rnacentral:misc_RNA from 1 species
GAAUCAGCAUUACACUUUUUGCAGUUCGAUUUUACACCACCGACUAGUUUCAACCCUCGAACUGAAAAAAGUGUAAAAGGCGAACUGCAAAAAGUGUAAAAGUUACAUCUUUUCCAGUUCAGGGUUCCGAACUGCAAAAAGUGUAACUUUUGGACUUAGAAAAAUUUUGAAGAAUUUGCGGAAUCAUUUCACCCGCUGUCAAAUCGGGACUUAGUGAAAUUUGGAUGCUGGUAGCAAGAGGUGUUGCAGGGAAUGCCCGAGAAGCUGCUGGUGGAUCUGGACGGCAUCUACUACAACAAGGGCAACCUUUCUGCGGCGUAAGUCGCUUCACUCUGGUCAAGCUUCAAUAAUUCAUAUCCAUUUUAAAACAAAGCCAACGUGACCGCUUAGGUCGGCGACGCGGUGCUCUUUUGCAUCGAGCACGCCGACGCGGCCGAGGAGAUUUGCGAGUGGUUCGCCGAGUCGCUGUCGAACAACGAAAACCAUGCUCAAGCGGAAGAUCGCCCGCAUCUACCUGAUCUCGGACACUGCACAGCUGCAGUGGCAAGGUAUCGAACGUGAGCUUCUUCCGGAAGGCCGUGGAGAAGAAUCUGCUGGGCAUCUUCAAGAAUCUCUUCGCCUACCACAUGCAGUUGGACAGCCGUCUCAAAGCCGAGGGCUUCAAGUCGCGCGUGAUGAACGUGUUCAAAGCGUGGGAGGAGUGGGCUACCCGAAGGACUUUUUGCUUAGGCUGCAGCACACCUUCCUGGGAAUUGCGAUUGUCGAAAAGCAACCGGAGAAAGUGCCCGCCUGCUGAAGGGAAUUGCCGAUACAGAUUCCAGCACGCCAGUGCUCAAGCACGACAUCUACAACGACGGGAUGCUGCUAAACACCACGGAGGACAUUGACGGCGUUCCGAUGCAGAGCUCGGAGGAGUAGCUCAAAACUGGCGGUUCGUUCCAAGUGGGAAACGGCAGGUGCGCGUCGACUGGAACUUCGGCGAAGAAAUCGCUCACUACCGGCGAUCCUCGCCGUCCGAGUACGUACCACGAACAAGUCGUCCCGCCGGCCCAGUUCCCCCUCUACUCCAGCAGAAGCCGCAGCAAGCGCGAAGCGUCCCUUUCAUCGCUCCAAACCAGCAGCAAGUCCACCCAUCGGUGAGGACUCUCAGAAUGGACAGAUUUCGGGCGAAGGUCGUGCAGGUUUAUCAACCAAUUUCUGAUGGCACCCGCCGGGUUGUUCUCUCCUGAAGGUCAACGCGAAAGUUGAGCCACGUCUCCAAAAAAUCAUCGACUUUGUGCACCAGCAACGAGCGAUCGAUCCGGGUUGAAAGCCAUCUGUUCGCGGUCAAUUCAUUCCGGAAGCUGGUUGCAAGUAGAAACAAGACAGAGUUCCGAGUGAUUGAGCUGAAACUCCGUGACAUCCGCCAGGACCGGUAAAUCCGGAUGAUGGCAAUUGCCAAAAGAGAGUUACGUAGGUUACUCCAAGAAGCGAACAAGCUAGGACCGGUGGGCGGAAUAUUUAACUUGGAACGGCCUCGAAGUGCUCCACUCAGUGAUUUUCUGAUAUUAGGUCAGAAACUUUAAUUAU